rnacentral:lncRNA from 1 species
UAACAGUCAUGUAAUUACAAACCGAAUCCUCAUCAUUGUGUUGGAAGGUACCCUAGACACAAACACACAAAAAUGACUCAAAACACUCUUUUUAGGUUUUUCAAAACACAUGAAUUUCAAAUUUUUAUGUGAUUUUCGGAGUUUUAUGUCAACACACUAAAACACACCAAAACUGCUUAAAAACACUUAAAAACAGCGAGAACAAGUAUAUAAGUUAUGGGUGGUAAAAUCCCACGAAUUUGCAUAAAAAACACUUAGUUACCCCCCCACACUUAAAUCAAACAUUGUCCUCAAUGUUUCAAGCUUAAAAUCUCACAAAAAACAAGCAAAUAAACAAACAACAAUUAAACAUGACAAGUAUAGCAAAGUAAACAAAAAUAGAUAGAGUAGAGUUUAAGAACGUAAAUCUGAUUUUGGAGAUAGAUGAUCUUGUUGACUUUCCAC